UGCUCCGGUUUACUCCGAAAUCCAGUCACUUCAGUUUUGAGGGCAUGGUGGCACGGACUGCCGUCGCGGUGCUCCACUAAAAUGAGAACAGCAACCGUGCGCAGGCCACAACGAAGGACGAAAAAAAGCGAAGUUGUCUGAAGUUUCCCAAGUCACGGAAAGGCGAAUGGGUCCUCAGCCCCAUCAUGGAGACUGCGUCGUACGACUACGUCCAGAGGCUCCUCAAUUCCUGCCUGGAGUUGGCCAAGGCUUCCCG